ACACUCUUGUUUCUCUUCAGAUCGUUUAAAUCUUUCGCCUUUUACUAAAGAUUUCGCGUGGAGAGGAACAAUAAGAGUUGCAAAUAAUUUUUGAUACCCUGUGUUAUGUGGAGGGC